AUGAACGCUGGCGGCGUGCCUAAUCCCUGCAAGUCGAGCGAACGGACGAGAAGCUUGCUUCUCUGAUGUUAGCGGCGGACGGGUGAGUAACACGUGGAUAACCUACCUAUAAGACUGGGAUAACUUCGGGAAACCGGAGCUAAUACCGGAUAAUCUUUUGAACCGCAUGGUUCAAAAGUGAAAGACGGUCUUGCUGUCACUUAUAGAUGGAUCCGCGCUGCAUUAGCUAGUUGGUAAGGUAACGGCUUACCAAGGCAACGAUGCAUAGCCGACCUGAGAGGGUGAUCGGCCACACUGGAACUGAGACACGGUCCAGACUCCUACGGGAGGCAGCAGUAGGGAAUCUUCCGCAAUGGGCGAAAGCCUGACGGAGCAACGCCGCGUGAGUGAUGAAGGUCUUCGGAUCGUAAAACUCUGUUAUUAGGGAAGAACAUAUGUGUAAGUAACUGUGCACAUCUUGACGGUACCUAAUCAGAAAGCCACGGCUAACUACGUG
rnacentral:rRNA from 1 species